AGCAGCCGCGGUAAUUCCAGCUCCAAUAGCGUAUAUUAAAGUUGUUGCAGUUAAAAAGCUCGUAGUUGAAUUUCGGGGUCAGUAGAUCGGUCGUGCCACUGGUAUGUACUGGUCUCACUGAUUCCUCCUUCUUGUAAAGCCGUAAUGCCAUUAAUUUGGUGUUGCGGGGGAAACAGGACUGUUACUUUGAAAAAAUUAGAGUGUUUAAAGCAGGCUAACGCUUGAAUACAUUAGCAUGGAAUAAUGAAAUAGGACGUUCGAUCCUAUUUUGUUGGUUUCUAGGACUGACGUAAUGAUUAAUAGGGAUAGUUGGGGGCAUUAGUAUUCAAUUGUCAGAGGUGAAAUUCUUGGAUUUAUUGAAGACUAACUACUGCGAAAGCAAUUUGCCUAAGGAUGUUUUCAUUAAUCAAGAACGAAAGUUAGGGGAUCGAAGACGAAUCAGAUAACCGUCGUAGUCUUAACCAUAAACUAUGCCGACUAGGGAUCGGAUGAUGUUAAUUUUUAAUGUACUCAUUCGGCG
rnacentral:rRNA from 1 species